rnacentral:rRNA from 1 species
UGAAAUCCCAGAGCUUAACUCUGGAACUGCCAUCAAAACUUUUCAGCUAGAGUAUGAUAGAGGAAAGCAGAAUUUCUAGUGUAGAGGUGAAAUUCGUAGAUAUUAGAAAGAAUACCAAUUGCGAAGGCAGCUUUCUGGAUCAUUACUGACACUGAGGAACGAAAGCAUGGGUAGCGAAGAGGAUUAGAUACCCUCGUAGUCCAUGCCGUAAACGAUGUGUGUUAGACGUUGGAAAUUUAUUUUCAGUGUCGCAGGGAAACCGAUAAACACACCGCCUGGGGAGUACGACCGCAAGGUUAAAACUCAAAUGAAUUGACGGGGACCCGCACAAGUAGUGGAGCAUGUGGUUUAAUUCGAAGAUACGCGCAGAACCUUACCAACACUUGACAUGUUCGUCGCGACUCUAAGAGAUUAGAGUUUUCGGUUCGGCUGGACGAAACACAGGUGCUGCAUGGCUGUCGUCAGCUCGUGUCGUGAGAUGUUGGGUUAAGUCCCGCAACGAGCGCAACCCUCACUUUUAGUUGCCAUCAUUAAGUUGGGCACUCUGAAAGAACUGCCAGUGAUAAGCUGGAGGAAGGUGGGGAUGACGUCAAGUCCUCAUGGCCCUUACGUGUUGGGCUACACACGUGCUACAAUGGCAUCUACAAUAGGAAGCAAAACGGCAACGUUAAGCAAAUCCCGAAAAGAUGCCUCAGUUCGGAUUGCACUCUGCAACUCGAGUGCAUGAAGCUGGAAUUACUAGUAAUCGUGGAUCAGCGUGCCACGGUGAAUGCGUUCCCGGGUCUUGUACACACCGCCCGUCACACCAUGGGAGUUGGUUCUACCUUAAGGCAAGGUUUUAAACCCUUGACCACGGUAUAGUCAGCGACUGGGGUGAAGUCGUAACAAGGUAACCA